rnacentral:rRNA from 1 species
GUAGUCUGCAACCCGACUACAUGAAGCUGGAAUCGCUAGUAAUCGCGGAUCAGAAUGCCGCGGUGAAUACGUUCCCGGGUCUUGUACACACCGCCCGUCACACCAUGGGAGUCGGAAAUGCCCGAAGUCUGUGACCCAACCGCGAGGAGGGAGCAGCCGAAGGCAGGUCGGAUGACUGGGGUGAAGUCGUAACAAGGUAUC